rnacentral:rRNA from 1 species
AGUAACACGUGGAUAACCUACCUAUAAGACUUGGAUAACUUCGGGAAACCGGAGCUAAUACCGGAUAAUAUUUUGAACCGCAUGGUUCAAAAGUGAAAGACGGUCUUGCUGUCACUUAUAGAUGGAUCCGCGCUGCAUUAGCUAGUUGGUGAGGUAAAGGCUCACCAAGGCGACGAUACAUAGCCGACCUGAGAGGGUGAUCGGCCACACUGGGACUGAGACACGGCCCAG